UUAACCAUGAAAGAACAAAAACCGUAACAUUGUUUACCACAUUGCAAAGUGCUCUCUAAAAAAUUGUUCCAGCCAAAGAAAAAAAGAAAAGAGUGUGACGGUUAGAACACUUCUCAAUCACCCAAAAUCUAAUAACAAUACCAUGGUUCUAAGAAAAGUUGUCUCUGGAAACGUUGUAGCCAGCCAGCCUCCCUAAGUGACGGCUUCACACUUAAAGCAAUGCCAUGUGCCCUCAAAAAUGAGGUGGGGUCCACCCAAAAAAAAUUAAAACCCUAGGGCAUGUGUCCUACAAAAUUGUCACUAAAAAGGGCCCAAUGUGCACAAGCUUGUCUAAAAGUUUAAAAAAUUAAAAUUACAAUACAACUAAAAUUUAAAAUGUCUAAAUUUGAGAGUCUUGAAUUUAUUUUGUCUCCUCCAAAUGUCCCAAAUUGUGUUUCCAAAAUUUUCCCUAAAAAUAAUAAUGCAAAUAAUUAGCUCAGAAAAUUCAAAUUAAUUAAAAUUCGAAUUUCUGGUCAAAUUAACCACAAUUAGCAGAAACGGGAAAAUACAGGACAUUUAAGCACAAUUCGCUGAUUAAUUUUAGUACAAUAAACUAAGUGAAAUCAAUAAAAUAUCGACUCAUCACCCAUCCCGUCUGAAAAGUCAUUUCUUACUUGCACCUCCUGUUUCUGCUAAAUAUCAUCCCUUCAAGUUUGGGCUUAAGCCCAGAUUGUUUAUAAAAAUGGUUAGACACCCCUCUUUCUUAUUUAGGCACCUCCACACCCGUUUUAUUUACUUACUAAUUUAUUUUACCAUUUCAUUCUUUAUUUUAUUUUCAUCUUUCUUUUUGUUUUUAUUUAUUUAUCUGUUUUUA
rnacentral:lncRNA from 1 species